CGGGGUGAAAGGUUGAGAGAAAGAACUGAGUCCAGUUCAGACCGAGGAGCCUGUGACACAGUCAACACCAAUGCCAAGGAGCCAGUGGAUACAGGGGUUGAGGUUGCAGACAUAAACACAGGAUUCAUCAGCAUAUGUGUGGUUUCUGAACCUAUGGGACAGGAUGGCAUCACUCAGGGAAAGAGCACAGAGUCAGAAGAAAAUAUGACCCAAGACCAGGCCUUGAAGAACUCCGAUAUUUAAUGUUUGGGUAGAAGAAAAGGCAAACGAAAGUAUCUGAAAAGAUGGGCCAGAGAAGAGAGAAUCAACCAAGGGGAGAUGGUCCCAGAAGUCAAACAGAAGGGAGUGAUUCGCUGUGAUGAAUGCUGCAGAGGCCAAAUAAGGAAAAGAAGACAGCAAGAAGAAGCCACUUUGAGCCCCUAUGAUUUCAUCUUUGAUCCACUCAUCCAGCACUCCAUACUCCUUGAUCCCUACCCACCAAAUUCUCCUUAAAAGCCCUGGUCUCCAAAUGUUCAAGGCGACCGAUUUGAGUAAUAAAACUCUAGUCUCCCAUUUAGCUGGCUGUCUGUGAAUUAAAUUCUUUCUCUAUAGCAGUUCUCCUGUCUUGAUACAUUAGCUGUAUCUGGGCAGUGGGCAAGGCGAACCCGUUGGGCCAUUUCACUAUAACGUCUUUCUAGAAAAGAUUUCUCUCACAGACAUCAGUAGCUCAAGCUGGUGACACAGCAUGGCCAUUUGUGCAAAUAAAGGCUCUUCUUUCUUUGCACAUUGGAUGUCUCUCUGACCUCCAGUGCUCGCCUGUACUCUCUUUCUCUUGCUAUACCAUAUCCUUUGCCUUUAAGUAAAUGCCUAUAUGAAUAUACUCUGUGGAAUCUGGUGAAUCCAUGCAAAUAACCAAACUGGGGAAGUCUUUGCAAUGGUGUAACUAUACAAUAUAAUACUAUACAGCUGCAGAAAAGUAUGUGAAAUGUAUCUGUGGACUGAUAUGAAAAGAUAUCUAGAAUAUAUUGUUAAAUGAAAAUGCAGGUGAGGAACUGCAAUAUAGUAUACUGUUUUUCUUGUACAAAAGAGAGAAAUACAAGGGCAUAUAAUUGUAUUCACUUGAUUUGCAUGAGGAAACACUGGAAGGUUACACACACAAAAAACUAUUUAAAAUGAUUAACUAUGGAAGUGAUGGAAGCAAGAUAUCUUAACAUAUAAAUUUUCAUAUUGAAGAUACUUGCACACACAUGUUUAUAGCAGCACAAUUCACAGUUGCAAAAUCAUGGAAGCAACCCAAAUGCCAAUCAAUCAACGAGUGGAUAAAGAAACUGUGGUGUAUAUAUACAAUGGAAUACUACUCAGCCAUAAAAAGGAAUGAACUAACAGCAUUUGGAAUGACCUGGAUGAGAUUGGAGGCUAUUAUUCUAGUGAAGGAACUCAGGAAUGGAAAACCAAACAUCGUAUGUUCCCACUGAUACGUGGGAGCUAAGCUAUGAGGAUGCAAAGGCAUAAGAACGAUAUAAUGGACUCUGGGAACUUGGGGGGAAGAGUGGGAGGGAGUGAGGCAUAAAAGAGUGGAAGGGAGCAAGGAAUAAAACAAAUAUGGUGCAGUGUAUACCACUUGGGUGAUAGGUGCACCAGGAUCUCACAAAUCACCACCAAAGAACUAUCCAUGUAACCAAAUACCACCUGUACCCCCAAUAAUUUAUGGAAAAAUAAUAAUUAAAAAGUAAAAAAAAAAAUUCAUAUUGUUUUGAUUUUUGAAACAAAUUACCCACUCAAAAAAUUAAAAUUUCAGGGUAAACAAAAAAGAAAAGAAAAAUCAAGUUAUGUGGUCUAAGAGAUAUAAUAAAAUAUUAUAGGGUUUUAUACUAAGUACCAAGAAAUUAAGAUGGAAAAAUAAUAGACAUGCCAAAGUAUAAACAUAAAC
rnacentral:lncRNA from 10 species